AUUGAACGCUGGCGGCAGGCUUAACCCAUGCCAGUCGCACGAGUGGCGGACGGGUGAGUAAUGCUUGGGAAUCUAGCUUAUGGCGGGGGAUAACUACGGGAAACUGUCGCUAAUACCGCGUACCAUAGGAUGAGCCCAAGUGGGAUUAGGUAGUUGGUGAGGUAAAGGCUCACAAAGCAGACGAUCUCUAGCUGGUCUGCUAGGAUGACCAUCCACACUGGGACUGAGACACGGCCCAGACUCCUACGGGAGGCAGCCGUGGGGAAUAUUGCGCAAUGGGGGCAACCUGACGCAGCCAUGCCGCGUGAAUGAAGAAGGCCUUCGGGUUGUAAAGUUCUUUCGGUAGCGAGGCGUUAACUACAGAAGAAGCACCGGAUAACUCCGUGCCAGCCGCCGCGGUAAUUC
rnacentral:rRNA from 1 species